rnacentral:rRNA from 1 species
CCUACGGGAGGCAGCAGUAGGGAAUAUUGCGCAAUGGGCGAAAGCCUGACGCAGCGACGCCGCGUGAGUGAUGAAGGUCUUCGGAUCGUAAAACUCUGUCAGCAGGGAAGAACGGUCACUGUGCUAAUCAGCAGUGCAUUGACGGUACCUGCACAGGAAGCACCGGCUAACUACGUGCCAGCAGCCGCGGUAAUACGGAGGGUGCGAGCGUUCAUCGGAAUUAAUGGGCGUAAAGCGCGCGUAGGCGGUAUGUCAAGUCAAUGGUGAAAUCCCCGCGCUCAACGGGGGAACGUCCUUUGAAACUGGCAAACUGGAGUGUGUGAGAGGAUAGUGGAAUUCCAGGUGUAGGAGUGAAAUCCGUAGAUAUCUGGAGGAACAUCAGUGGCGAAGGCGACUAUCUGGCAUAUAACUGACGCUGAGGAGCGAAAGCGUGGGUAGCAAACAGGAUUAGAUACCCUUGUAGUC